GAUGGUCUUCUUCUCUACACGAAAAGAGAAAUAUUAUAUAUAUUAUGUCCAUUUCAGCUGUUGUCGGCCUCAAACCGUCAUAUGGACAAGAGAUAGUGGGCAAAAAAGUUGAGGUUUAAUGGUAGUUGGAUAAAAUCUGGUACAAAAAUUGUGUGAAAUCUUUCGACAGUUCUUCUAAUGAAAUUUGAUCAAGCAUAAUGAUGGUGGU
rnacentral:lncRNA from 1 species